GGUCCUAAGCUGAGGCCGACAGGCGUAGGCGAUGGAUAACAGGUUGAUAUUCCUGUACCACCUAUAAUCGUUUUAAUCGAUGGGGGGACGCAGUAGGAUAGGCGAAGCGUGCGAUUGGAUUGCACGUCUAAGCAGUAAGGCUGAGUAUUAGGCAAAUCCGGUACUCGUUAAGGCUGAGCUGUGAUGGGGAGAAGACAUUGUGUCUUCGAGUCGUUGAUUUCACACUGCCGAGAAAAGCCUCUAGAUAGAAAAUAGGUGCCCGUACCGCAAACCGACACAGGUAGUCAAGAUGAGAAUUCUAAGGUGAGCGAGCGAACUCUCGUUAAGGAACUCGGCAAAAUGACCCCGUAACUUCGGGAGAAGGGGUGCUCUUUAGGGUUAACGCCCAGAAGAGCCGCAGUGAAUAGGCCCAAGCGACUGUUUAUCAAAAACACAGGUCUCUGCUAAACCGUAAGGUGAUGUAUAGGGGCUGACGCCUGCCCGGUGCUGGAAGGUUAAGAGGAGUGGUUAGCUUCUGCGAAGCUACGAAUCGAAGCCCCAGUAAACGGCGGCCGUAACUAUAACGGUCCUAAGGUAGCGAAAUUCCUUGUCGGGUAAGUUCCGACCCGCACGAAAGGCGUAACGAUUUGGGCACUGUCUCAACGAG
rnacentral:rRNA from 1 species